GUGGCGUAGUAAGUUGAAAAAAUUUCAAACAGCAAACUAUUGUUGACUCAGUCACUAAAGCCGAGUAUAUUGUUGCUAGUGAGGCUGCUAAGGAGGCCAUCUAGAUAAAGAAGUUCAUCUCAGAGUUGGGUGUGGUUUCUGAAAUUGAAUAACCAGUGCCUCUUUACUGUGACAAUACUAGGACAAUUGCUCAAGCUAAGGAACCAAGGUCUUAUCACAAAUCCAAACACAUCCUAAGGUAGUUCCAUCUCAUUCGAGAGAUAGUCGA
rnacentral:lncRNA from 1 species